AUUCCCCUAGUAACGGCGAGUGAAGAGGGAAGAGCCCAAGAUUGAAAGCUGGCGCCUUCGGCGUCCGCAUUGUAAUCUCAAGAAGUGUUUUCCGCUUCGGACCAUGCCUAAGUCCCUUGGAAAAGGGCAUCAUAGAGGGUGAUAAUCCCGUACAUGGCAUGGAGCGCCCGUAGCUUUGUGAUACGCUUUCUAAGAGUCGAGUUGUUUGGGAAUGCAGCUCAAAAUGGGUGGUAAAUGCCAUCUAAGGCUAAAUAUUGGGGAGAGACCGAUAGCGAACAAGUACAGUGAUGGAAAGAUGAAAAGAACUUUGAAAAGAGAGUUAAACAGUACGUGAAAUUGCCAAAAGGGAAGGGUAGGAGGUCAGAGAUGCGGCUUGGGAUUCAGCCUUGCUUUUGCAUGGUGUUUUUCCCCUGUUGCAGGCCAACGUCGGUUUUGGGCACUGGAGAAGGGUGGAAGGAACGUGGCAUCUCUUCGGGGAUGUGUUAUAGCCUUCUACUGGAUACAGCGACCGAGACCGAGGACAGCAGCGUACUCGCAAGAGCGGGCCUUCGGGCACCUUUACGCUUAGGGCGUUGGCAUAAUGGCCCUCUACCACCCGUCUUGA
rnacentral:rRNA from 1 species